UUUAAAAAAAAAAAACCCAAAAAGGGAAUAUUAAAAAUUCACUGAUACAAACCACCCAAGACCAAUGAUGUCUACUCUCAUCUAAUGAACGUCAUUUGCAGAGUUGUGCUGAAAUCUGUGGCCCUUGCUCUGGAUCCUGGCAGAAGAAUGAAUAUCAAAGACAAAGUGACAGAAUUCAACCUAACAAGUGAAAAGUAAUGUGAUCACAGAGUUAUUCACUGAGUCAAGUAAAAUGAAAACAAGAAAUAUUCCCCACCCAACUUUUUGAC